GAUGAACGCUGGCGGCGUGCAUAACACAUUCAAGUCGAACGGUGAUGAGGACUUCGGUCCUCUGAUCAGUGGCGGACGGGUGAGUAACGCGUGAGCAACCUGCCUAUGUGUGUGGAAUAACACAGGGAAACUUGUGCUAAUAACGCAUAACGUAUUUCAAGCGCAAGGUUUGGAUUCCAAAGAGAAAUUGCACAUAGAUGGGCUCUCGUCUGUUUAGAUAGUUGGUGAGGUAACGGCUGACCAAGUCGACGAUCAGUAGCCGGAAUCAGAGGUUGAACGGCCACAUUGGAACUGAGAUACGGUCCAGACUCCUGCGGGAGGCAGCAGUGGGGAAUAUUGGGCAAUGGGCGAAAGCCUGACCCAGCGACGCCGCGUGCAGGAAGAAGGUCUUCGGAUGGUAAACUGCUGUUGUAAGGGAAGAAGAAAGUGACGGUACCUUACGAGGAAGCCACGGCUAACUACGUGCCAGCAGCCGCAGUAACAC
rnacentral:rRNA from 1 species